rnacentral:sRNA from 1 species
GUGCUGGCCGCAAUCAGUUUGCCGGAGCCGGCGCUGGAGCGCCGAUCUGACCUGCCGGAGCAGCCUCGCCUUCAGCCGGGGCGGGAGUUGCUCCGCCUUCAGCCGG